ensembl:lncRNA
UUUUUUUUUUUUUUUGUCUUUUUCGGGCCGCACCUCUAGCAUAUGGAAGUUCCCAGGGGGACAUCUGUGAUCAACCCCACAGCUCACAGCAAUGCCAGAUCCUUAACCCACUGAACAGGGCCAGGGAUCAACCCCAAGUCUUCAUGGAUACUAGUUGGAUUCCUUACUGCUGAGCAACAACGGGAACUCCUGCAGGCUUUUUAAAAAAUUUUUCACCACACCUGCAGCAUGUGGAAGUUGCCAGGCCAGGGAAGGUGCCAGGCACCUCAGCAAUUAGAAUGCUGGAGACUUAACCCACUGAGCCAGGCGGGAGUUCUUGCCAUUUGUAGAUUUUUUAAUGAGGGCUAUUCUGACUGGUGUGAGGAGGUAACUUGUAGUAUUGAUUUGCAUUUCUCUAAUAAUUGGUGAUGUUAAGCAUCUUUUCAUGUGCCUACUGGCCAUCCUUAUGUCUUUGGAGAAAUGUCUGUUUAGGACUUCUCCCCAUUUUUCUUUUUUUUGUGUGUGUGUAGUUUUGUUGUUGUUGUUGUUAGAGUACAGUUGAUUUACAGUGUUGUGUUUCUGCCCAUUUUUCAACUGGGUUGUUUGGCUUUUAGUUCUUGAGUUGUGUGAUUUGUUUGCCUUCCUUUUGGAAUUUGAGCCCUUGUUGGUUGCAUUGUUUGCAAAUAUUUUCUCCCAUUCUGUAGAUUAUCUUUUCUGUUUGUUUUUAUGGCUUCCUUUGCUGCAUAGAAGCUUGUAAGUUUGAUUAGGUCCCAUUUUUUGUUUGUUAUUAUUUCUGUUACCUUGGGCGACUGACCUAAUAAAACAUUUGUAUGAUGUAUGUCAGAGAAUGUUUUGCUUAUUUUCUCUUCUAGGGGUUUAUGGUUUAAGUCUUUCAGACAUUUUGAGUUUGUUUUUGUGCAUGGUGUGAAUAUGUGUUCUAAUUACUAAGCAAGACAUGGAAAAAACCUAAAUGUCCAUAGACAGAUGAAUGGAUUAAGAUGUGGUAUUAUGUACAGUGGAAUACUACUCAGCAAUAAAAAAGAAUGAAAUUAUGCCAUUCAUGGCAACACAGAUGCAAUUUAAGAUUAUCAUACUUAGUAAGUUAGAAGAGAAAGACAAAUACCAUAUUAUAUCACUUAUAUGUGGAAUCUAAAAUAUGCCACAAAUGGUCCUAUCUAAAACGCAGAAACAGACUCACAGACACAGAGAACAGACUUGUAGUUGCCAAGUGGGAAGUGGGGGAGAGAAUGGGAUAGACUGGGACUUUAGGGUUGGUAGAUGCAAACUAUUACAUUUAAAAUGGAUAAACAAUGAGGUCCUACUGUAGAGCACAGGGAACUAUAACUAAUCUCUUGGGAUAGACCAUGAUGGAAAAUAAUAUAAAAAAGAAUGUACAUAACACAGUCACUUUGCUCUACCACAGAAUAAAUCAACUACACUUUAAAAAAAUUUUUAAGUAUAAAAUUUUUAAAUUUGGCUAAAUCAAAUUUUUAAAAUCUGCAUAUUAAGAAAAAAUAAUAUAAGAUGUACUCUUUCUAAAUUUCUGUAUGUUUCCUUUGUUUUGUAAUAUUUACAUAUAAGCCAUGCAUGUUAUUUCUUUUCCUCUUGUCUUACUCAAGAAGAAAUCGUUAACUAUAGAAAAGAUGUGCAAAUGCCACUCUAUUGGUCUACUUUUAAUUUGUGCUUUUUUUGGUCAAAUUGCCUUCUCAAAUAUUAAUACUGGACAUAUUAAUAUUGCCAAAAUGUAUUCAAUUUCCAAGAUAUAACAUGCCUUCAUCCACAGCAGUUUAUUUUAUUAAACAAAAGAAUUUCACAUAAUCCCAUAGGUUGAUGUUCUAAUACUCUGAAGCAAUGCAGCUCAUGAAAAGUUAUAAUCUCCACAAUGCUCUGUUUCCAAUCAAUUAAUAUUCCCAAAUGCAGUCUUCUACUUGUGAACACUAUACUUAUAAGAAUAUGAGACCAUUGCUAGUUUCCCCUAUAUCGUACUGUGUUAUCUUCUUGAAGUUGUAGUCUUUUAAAAAUGAAGAAAGUGGUGCAUAGGAAUUCAGGAACAGUGAAUCAGAGAACUGAUGGUCCCAAAUAGCAUACCUUGUGAAGAGAAGGACCACUGCUUAGCUUUCUGUUGGGCACUGAUCCAGGAUCUCUGUCCAGAUAUCAAAGUGAGAAAGAAGUAUCUUCUCAUGUUCUUCCAGAUAGGUAGGCAAACCCUGUAACAGGUAAAAUUCUUUUUUCUAUCCAGUUUUAUGAUUGACACUGUUGGUUGUAGAUUCAACAGCCAUUUCCCCAUUUUUCAUGGCAAAAGGAACCUUGAUUGCAAGUGCAUGCAUGCAUGUGUGACAAUGUGCUUAUCCCUAGGCUAAUAAUUGGUUUCCCUAUUCUAUCUACUUUUGCAAGUGAAGGAGCUAGGGAGUGCCCAUGUGACCCAGUUCCAAGCAAUGAUGUAAAGGGAAGUCUACUGAAGUCUUGGGGGAGGGGAGUGGAUUUUCCUACCUAAUAAAAGAGAAACAAGUAAGAAAACAGUUUAUUUUUGUCCCUUCCCCCUUCCUUCUUAUUUGAGAAAGGUUGUAUUGGAAUGAAAUGUCUGGAGCUAUGGUAGCUGUUCUGGUAACAGUGAGAUUUAAACCUGAGGACAAAAUGCCAACAUGUUGAGAAUAGCAGUAGGAAUAAAUGAAAGACCUGAUUUCUUUCUUUCUUUUUUUUUUUUUUUUUUUUUUGUCUAUUUACCAUCUCUAGGGCCGCUCCCAUGGCAUAUGGAGGUUCCCAGGCUAGGGGUCUAAUUCGAGCUAUAGCCACUGGCCUACACCAGAGCCAUAGCAAUGCGGGAUCCACGCUGUGGCUGCAACUUACACCACAGCUCACAGCAGUACCAGAUCCUUAACCCACUGAGCAAGGCCAGGGAUUGAACCCACCCUCCUGGUUCCUAGUCAGAUUCGUUAACGACUGAGCCACGACGGGAACUCCCUGAUUUCUUGAUAUUGAUGUUGGGCAGUUAGAAGCAUACAGAGGACAACUAACUUCAGGCAAUUCCUUUUUUUUUUUUUUUUUUUUUAAAUAGCUGCACCUGCAGCAUAUAGCAGUUCCUGGGCCAGGAAUUGAAUCUGAGCUACAG